CCUCUUCCAGGCCAUAGAAAGGAGCCACUACUCACUCAAGCGACACCUCUGACCCUCCUCGCGCUGGCAAGAUGCCUCUCUGUGAAGGUUAGUCUAGCUCCAGUGGCUCUGUGCAAGGAAAAACCUGUAUGCACCAUCUACCUCGGGUUUUCCAGCAGUCAGGAUUUCAUUCGAUCCUAUUUUUUAAGAUUCACAAAAGAGCCCAAUAGAAGGUGACAUCUAGAACCUCUUUGCACUUAAAUGAAUACAUAAAUUGGAAACAAAAAUGUCAGGCGUGGGGCCUCUGGUUUGGAAAACCCGUGGGCGGACCCGGAAGGCUCCAGCACUUGGGGGCAGGAGCGAGGAGGGGGACAGAGGAAAGGCCCACACUGGCCUGGACUUCUCCUUUCUCAUGGGUAAACUCACGUCCCUCCCACUGGCCGCCCUCCACCCUCUAACUGCCUCUAUCUUUCAGGAUGAAAGCCUCCUGGUUUAACAGCUUUUUCUUGGAGAUGAAGUAACAGCUGUACUGCUUUCCUACAGCUGAGAAAAAACUUUCUCGCCAUUAAUUCCACCCUUCCUCAGUCCUUCAAAACUUCAGGAAGCCUUAUCAACUCUCCUCUCCUUUCAUCUUCAAAAUCUAUCUCUGUCUCCCACUUCUAGCUUAAAGAGGAAGGAAUGAAUGGGUGUAUGCCUUUCCCCCCAAGCAAAUAUCUGCAGUUAAUUCCCUUUUUCAUUUGAAGUGCUGUGCAGAUGCCCAGCGAAUUUCAUCAUCACCCCCUCUUGUGAGCCUGGUCCUCACGACAAAGCCAGCUGGCACAAAGUCCGAGGCAGCAUUUAUGAUGAUGCUUUUCUUCAAGUAGAGCUGCCUCGAUGGUACCAACCAGCAGAGAAGUGUCAUACAUGUGCAACUCCUCCCCUGCAACCAACCCCCAAUUUGAGACGCGUCCUGUUGCUGGUCCUAAAAUUUGCAGAAGGAACCAGGGCCAAAUGAAGGAACCUAUGAGUCACAUUUUUUCUAUCAAAAUACCAACAGAAAUGUAAAUAUUCUCAUAGAGGGGACCCCUACCCCAGCUUUUGCCUUCUUAUUUUCUACUCAUCGGAGCACUGGUUAUGUGACCAAGUGCAAGGUGGAGCAGAGGAGCCUAAGAGAGAGGAUUCCCCUGGGGCAUUCUUUUUAAUGCAGGAAGUUACUUACUCAUAUUGGGAGUGGUGUUCCCUCUGCUUUUUAAAACUAUAAAGACAGCUCUUCCAUCAGCUCUAGACUGAAGUUACCCAGCAUCAAAUGGAACACAAUGGCCCACAAGGCUAGGCUGACACACACACCAAACGAAUGGUUAUCCGGCUACAAGGCAGAGUGGGUGAUGGACCAAAUAGAGGGCUCUUUUGAAGAUUCUGGAUCUGUCUCGCCCCUCCUUCCUUCACCAGAGAAAUCCAAGGUGAUGAUAAGACGAUGUGGUCGUGGUCGACUAUAAAAACUGUACCCC